rnacentral:sRNA from 1 species
GCUGGGUAUAGUGGUGUAUGCCUGUAAUCCCAGUAACUCAGGAGGCUGAGGUAGGAAGAUCCCAGGUUUAAGGCCAGCAGCAGCAAUUUGACAAGGCCAUAAGAUACUUGAAACACAGUCCUUUU